rnacentral:sRNA from 1 species
GAACUGGUCGAUCGCACCGGAAUUGUCCGCGAGCGCCUUGGAAAAGCGCUCCGCGUUGCCGAUGGUUG